UUAAAAUAAAAUCCCAGUUUCUAACUGGCGAAAGAAAACGGUUUUGAAUCAGAGUUGAGUCUCAGGUUGAAGAUUUCUCUGACGUGAGAAAGUUUUCCUCCUUCUCCUACUCCGAUACUCGUCUAAACCCAGGACGCUCUCCGCGCAAGGUCCUGUAGGAUAUAUCACACCCAUCAACCCUUCACAGUAUUGAGGUAGUGAACAGAGCACUGGACAAACUUCAGGCAGACAACCUUCAGAGGAAGCUAAUACAGAAUAUUCAGAAUUUGGAUCUGGAGUCAGUUUGUGUAAUAAUGACGAUGAGGAUGAGGAUGGUACGAGAAUAUUAACCCCUGGUGAUGAUGAGGAGCAGGAUAAUCCAGGAUUCAUGGAGUCAGUUCUAGAGAGAAUGGACGCAGAGCACGAGAGUAUGGAUGCAAUACAUGGAAGUAUAGAUAUCGCUCACUGUAGCAUU